UGGGGAAUUUUGGACAAUGGGCGAAAGCCUGAUCCAGCAAUGCCGCGUGUGUGAAGAAGGCCUUCGGGUUGUAAAGCACUUUUGUCCGGAAAGAAAUCCUUGGCUCUAAUACAGUCGGGGGAUGACGGUACCGGAAGAAUAAGCACCGGCUAACUACGUGCCAGCAGCCGCGGUAAUACGCAGGGUGCAAGCGUUAAUCGGAAUUACUGGGCGUAAAGCGUGCGCAGGCGGUUUGCUAAGACCGAUGUGAAAUCCCCGGGCUCAACCUGGGAACUGCAUUGGUGACUGGCAGGCUAGAGUAUGGCAGAGGGGGGUAGAAUUCCACGUGUAGCAGUGAAAUGCGUAGAGAUGUGGAGGAAUACCGAUGGCGAAGGCAGCCCCCUGGGCCAAUACUGACGCUCAUGCACGAAAGCGUGGGGGAGCAAAACAGGAUUAGAUACCCUGGUAGUCCACGCCCUAAAACGAUGUCAACUAGUUGUUGGGGAUUCAUUUCCUUAGUAACGUAGCUAACGCGUGAAGUUGACCGCCUGGGGAGUACGGUCGCAAGAUUAAAACUCAAAUGAAUUGACGGGGUCAUAGCUGUUUCCU
rnacentral:rRNA from 1 species